AGGUACAGUGGAGGAUAUGGUAGUUAUGGGACUAAUCCAAACUAUUCUCAAGGAACAUAUGGCCAAUCUAACUUAGGAUAUAGUCAACAACCACAGCAACAAGGCUGGGGAGGAAAUACAGGUGGAAUGGCAUCAAGCAGCUAUUCAGGGUACAAUCAGGAUUACUCUCAACCUACUCAGUCACCGGGCUACAAUUACAAUCAGCAACAGAGUUCAUCAUAUGGUCAAACAUCUGGUGGUCCUAGUUUUGGAGAUCGGGGAAGAUCAAGUUUUGGUAACCAAGGGCCUGGUGGAAGGGGAGGUUUCAACAAAGGUAAAGCAUUGCAAAAGUGAUGCUCAGUUU